CUUAAAUGCACACACGCUGCUGAAGAUCUGGAGGAGGGGAAGUCCAGAUUUCUCCAUAUUGCAGGGAGGUGUGAGUGUGUGAUGUAUGGAGAGAGACAGCCAAACCCAAGUGAAUCAGCAGGAGGCUGGCUUAGCCCUCGUGUAACAUGAUGAAGUUACUGGCACUUUAAUUUCUGGAUCGUUGGCUUUUUGACCUUCAGAGCUAUGGCAAGGAUACUUAAUGCUUGCCUCAGUUUUUAUUAGCCUGGAAAUUCCAGUGAACUCGGCACACUUGACAGUGGUGGGUGUUUGUUGGUGUGUUGGAAAGAGCACGGAUGGACUUGGGAGUCACGUGGGCUCGGCUCUGCCACUUAUUUGCCUUCUUCACCCACCACUGACAAGCUGAGGCUUGGAAAAUGCUCCUUGAAUAAGCCAGAGUGUCACCAACACCAGCAGGGUCAGCUCCAGUCCCAGCCUCCCAUCAAGCUUCUUGGACCAAGGCCAGGUGCAGGCACACUUUAUCUGUAGGAUGGGGACAAAAAUACCACUUCAUUUGCGAAUGUGAGCUGAGAUGGCGAUUUGAGGCAGAGGUUGAACUAUGAAGAAAAUGCAAGACAUUAAUGAUGAUUAAAUAAUACACAAAGUAAUAAGAAAGAAAAUACGACAAAAAUUUUAUUCAUCUAACUUGGGGGCACCAUUUCUCCCUUUCUCCAUCAAGCAAUGAAAAAUAUUUACUUGACUCCAAAAGUGAAAAACAAGAAACAAAAGAAAAAGAAAAAGAAAAAAAGAAACAACAAAGAAAAGAAACUUUUUAACACUUGACAGGAAUCCAUAUUACAGUUUUCGGAGAGGAGCUGGAGCUGGCCUCACGGUGCAUGGAGCCUGGAGGGAGAAGCAGAUGCAUUCCUGUCAUCUAAAUCAGAGCAAUGGUGCACUUCUGUGAUUUGACCAGCCCAGAAGGGAAGGACAAAAAUGCUCUUGCCACAGGAGAUUUUGAAUUACACUUACCUUCCAGCCUGAAUCAGAAUCCCACUGGUCAAUUUUCUAUUCUCCGUUGUUCCUUUUCCCAAUGAACAAGAACAAGGCUGGUGCCACAUCAGCAUGUCAUUCACCAGCCAGACAUUUACAAUGAAAAAUCCGCUUUUCCAGAGUGUGAGGAUUCCCAGGGCAGGAGCCAAAGCCUCUCGAAUUCACACGGAGACAUCUCACGGUUACAGAGCUUCAAGACCUAACACGCCCCGCCCCCAUUUAGUUCGUGGAUUGGUUCCCUUGUCCUUGAGGAGAAUACGUUUUCUUGGAUCCACUUCUUGGAUACCGAGUUCAAGUCAAAACUGAUUUCCAUAGCCUCCUGUGGAGAGGGCCUCCGGUGGAGGGGCCAGUGUGCAGAAUGAUGAGGGGAUCUGCUCACCGGCUUUAGAGGCGAGAAUCUGGGAGUGAGGAGGUUACCUGGGCGCCUCGUCUCUGCUUUUCCAGAUAUUGUGCGCUUAAUGGGCAGCCUGCAGAACAGGGAUGUGCCCAGCCCUCUCUCUGCUGCCUUGAAAUCUUCAAAACAAGGUGAGGAACUUCCAGUUUAGACACCAAGUGUCCUCACCGUCAUUUUAAGUGGUUAUAGUUCUUGUCUGUGCAAAGUUAUUUGCCAUUCGUCUUUCUUCCCCAGAGUUGGAGGUCGGCUGCAGCAUCCUGGGAAACACGGCCUCCUUCAGGGUGCGGGGGAGGAAAGGGAGUGGCUGAGGAGCCAGACAUCUGGGUCUGGAUCGGGGCUUCACCGCUUUCUUGCUCUGUUUUGGAAGAAGGCAGAAGCAGCCCUGUGGAUUAAGACCCUAGCCCCAGAAGACGCAGAACCUUUGACCUCGAGCUGCCCUGUGGAAUCUGAGCCACCUCUGGAGAAACUCAGAAUGACUGAGCCUGUUAAUGGACUCCAUCCCUUUGUGGAGUAUCUGAAAUUGUGGUCAUUUAGAGCAUUAUUAUGGAAUUGUUUAUUGACCUGUAUAAACACAUACACCAUUUAUCACUAUAAAUGUAACAGGUGCCUCCCAGGCUGCCAGCUGGAGGUACUUUAGGGUCCCCAAAUAGGAACAGAGCAGUAUUUUUCAGGCUCGGCUCUCUUCAUAAAGAACUGCAGAAACCUCAGACUUCUUUAAAUUCCCCCUUUGGGUUCCAGGCAGGAGAGGUUUGGGGGAGGGACUCUGUGGCAUCUAGAAAAUUGCUGUCUUUCUCCACAUUCUACAUAGUUACCUGACUUUCCAUGGAAAAUGCUAAUGGUAGAGCAACCGCUCACGACACAUACUGCUCUUGUCUUUUUCAUCUCGAUGGAGGGGAGUUCUCAAUAUUUCACAGCAAUGGCCUCAUUCAUUCAUUCAACAAACACUUAAAUUGAAUGCCUAUUAUGUGCUAAGCAUUGCUCUAGGUUGUAGGAUUAUGGCUCCAAACAAAGCAGAUCCAGUCCCUCCUCUCAUGGUGCUUAUAAUCUAGUGAGAGAAAGAGAUGCUCUAUGAAAAAGUCAGUACAAGUCAGGUGAUGACAUGUGCUACAAAGGAGAGUAAGGCAAGAAAAGGGGUGUAGAGCAGCGGUGGAGUGAGUGCUAUUUAAUACAGAGAAGGUGAUAUUUGAGCAGAGAUUUGGAGGAAGCGAGGGAGUGAGCCAUGUGGAUAUCUGAAGAAAGAGCAUUCCAGGCAAAGAGAUAGCAAGUUCAAAGGAAUACAAGCAGGCUUGACAUAUUUAAGGAACAGCAAGAAGGCCAGUAGAGAUGGAAGGGAAUAACGGAGGGAGGGGAGAGUAGGAGCUAGUGUGGGCAGGUCACAUGGGACCUUAUAGGCCAUGUUGUUCCAUUGAGUUGUUCCUUUGAGUCUCACUCUGAGUGAGACAGGGAGCACUGAAGGGUUCUGAGCAGAUGAGGGAGAUGAUCUGACUUCUAGUUUAACAACAUCUGACGGCUGUGUGGAGAACAGACUGUAGCGGGUGAGGGGCGAGGGUAGAAGCAGUGCUAUCAGUUAGGAGGCCACUGCACUUGUCAAGGGGAGGGAUGGGGACGGCUUGUAAUAGGGUGAUAAUGGUGGCUGUGCUGAGCAAUGGUCAAAUUCUGGGUAUAUUUAGAAGGAAGGGUUAACAGAAUUUGUGACGGUUUGAAUAUGAGUGUGAGAGACAGAGAGGAUGACUAAAGAUUUUGGCUUUAGCAAUUGGUUAAAAUGGAAAAGCCAUUUACUGAGGUGGAGACAACUGAAGGAGGAUUAGGUUUGGGUGGUAAAACAAGUGUUCCAUUUUGACGUAUAAAAUGUUGAGUAAGUGGUUGGAAAUGUGGGGUUGGCAUAAGGGAAGAUUUGGGGUUGGAGAGAUACAUUUGGGAGCACAGCAUACAAAGAAUAUUUUAAGCCGGGUACUAAACGAAGUCAGAGGGAGUGCAGAUGAAGAAGAUGCGGUCUAAGGAUGGAGUCUGAAGCCCUUUGAUGCUUAGAGGUCAGAAGAGAGUGAGAAAGAGUGACCACUGAGGUCUUCUUGCAAAUAAAGUGAAGAAAGUAUUUAAGAAGGAAUGAUCAAUUGAGUCAAAUACUCCUGAGGGGUUAGGUUAGAUGAAGACUUAGAAAUGAAUACUGGUUUCGGCAAUGGAAGAUCAUUGGAGACCUUAAGCAAUCUUGACGGACUGUGGGAUUGAAAGCCAAACUGGGGGGGAAUUCAAGAAAGAAUCGAAGGAGAAGUAGAAAUGCAAGUACACACAAGCCUUUGUGGUAGUUUUGUUGUCAAAAGGGACAGAAAGACGUAGCUAGAGGUGGAGAUAUAGGGUCCAGGGAAGUUUUUAAAAAUAAAGUUGUGGGUGCAACAGAGUGUUUGUAUGAUAGUGGGAUGAUCCAGUAGAGCAGAAAAAAUUGAUGGAGCAGGAGGGAGAUGACAUAACUGUAGGAACUGUGUCACUGAGCAGAUGAGGGGGGCUGGGAUUCUGUGCAUAAGCGGAAGGCUAGGGCGUGGAUGACUUACUCAUUACCGCGCGAGAGAAGGCAGUAUAUGGGCACAGAUGCAGAUAAGAUGGCUGACUAAGUGACGGGAGUGUGCCCAAGUCCUCUUUUGACUCUUCUGUUAGUGAAGUGAGAAGCAAGCUCAGGGGCUAAGAAAGAGAAUGAGGAGUGCUGUUGGAAAUUUGAAGAGAGGUGAGAAGGAAUGAAAUAGUUGUCUGGAAGAGUGGCAAAGUCCAUUGACAAAGAAAACAUAGUGAAUUUGAGGCAGAGCCAAGGUCUUACUUGAGAAUUUGAAGCAAGACAUGUCAGUGUGGUUUACACUUUUUUCUGGCCAUGCUUAGUUACUAUGUGGAAUAGGCUAAACACUGGAGUUUUGUUGGAUGAUGGCAGAGGGAGACAGUGACCAAUCACUGAUGGACUCUUAAUGAAAAAUGAAUGGAGAAGAUACGUGUCACUGUUGGUAGUUGUUUGUCUACAUUAAGCCACAGAGCACACUCUGAAACUUGCGCAAAGUUAAUGGGACAGAAAUGUCAUUUCAUCCAAAGGCCCUCCCCUAUGACCCUGUGUAGUAUACCGCUGCCGCAGUCACGUGCCCCAAGCUUCUCUCCCAUCCAGACACAGGAGAGAUAAGCCCAGAAAGCAUGUGAUUAUAGGAUAGUCCUUGGUCCCCAGUGGCUGACGGGGCUGACAUAUCACCAUUCCCUACUCCUGACCCCCGGCAUCUAGUCAUUUUCUUUUUCCAGCCCAGCCAAGAAUUUGGUUCCUCAAGUAGCAGGAGCCCUUCAGUUGUGUCUGGAAUGUUCCUUGGCUGUAAAUGCACAGAAGGGGUCUCAAUGCUGGCACCUCUGUCAUCAAAUUGCCCCAUUAAUUUGUUGUCCUAGUGUGUGGAUCCUCUAGUUCCCAGGAAACUUGAGGAAUAAAUAAAGUGGACAUUUAUUUAUAUUGUUGAGGUAGAGAUCCACUCUUGCAUUUAUUUAGUGAUAGACUUAAGAAUGACGAGAAAGCCUUCCUUUCUUUUGAAAGCCCUCUGAAAAUGUUUGUUCCAAGUAAGACGUUCUGUUUAAGCGGCACUGAUAUCCCUGUUCUGUGAACUUAGAGUCACGGGUACAUCACUUGGAAAUGGCCCUCUGUCUUUCUGAGGCUUAAUAUGUAUCUUUCUCCCAAAUUAACUGAAAUUUUCCAUUAAACAAUGAUGAUCUUGCAAAAGUUUCCUCUCACACGUACCACGUCUUGACACACAGUGUCCAACAGGCGGUAAUACAAAAUUGGAAUCACAGAAACGGCCUUCUGUUAUUGUCCUGGGAUCAAAAGUCGAAAAUCAUAAAAGUGCCCCGCUGAUCCUUCCAACUGUCCUUAAACUUUUCUUCUAGUACUGUGUGCCCAAGGCAGCCAAACCCUUGUAUGCAUGUUUUUUUGUAUGACUUGGAAGUAUACAUUUUCUUACCAUAUCAGAUGUUUCUUGCGUUUGUGCUAUUCAAGAUUUCUUUCCUGAAACCCAGCCUGCUUUUAACUUGUGCCCUUUCCAAGUGUUAGAAAUGGGACUGAGGUGCAGCCUCUAUGGAGAACAGUAUGGUGGUUCCUCAAGAAAUUAAAAAUAGAGCAACCAUAUGGUCUAGCAACC
ensembl:lncRNA